rnacentral:rRNA from 1 species
AACGAACGCUGGCGGCAGGCCUAACACAUGCAAGUCGAGCGCGCCCUUCGGGGUGAGCGGCGGACGGGUGAGUAACGCGUGGGAACGUUCCCUUUUCUACGGAAUAGCCUCGGGAAACUGAUAGUAAUACCGUAUACGCCCUUUUGGGGAAGGAUUUAUCGGAAAAGGAUCGUCCCGCGUUGGAUUAGGUAUUAGUUUGGGUAAUGGCUUACCAAGCCGACGAUCCAUAGCUGGUUUGAGAGGAUGAUCAGCCACACUUGGACUGAGACACGGCCCAGACUCCUCCGGGAGGCAGCAGUGGGUAAUGUUAGAACAUGGCGGCAAUGCUGAUGUAGCCAGGACGCGUGAGUGAUGAAGGCAGUAGGGUUGUAAAGCUCUUUCAGCUGGGAAGAUAAUGACGGUACCAGAAGAAGAAGCCACGGCUAACUACGUG